rnacentral:rRNA from 1 species
GACGAACGCUGGCGGCGUGCUUAACACAUGCAAGUCGAACGAAGUGGCGAACGGGUGAGUAACGCGUAAUCAACCUGCCAUUCAGAGGGGGACAACAGUUGGAAACGACUGCUAAUACCGCAUACUGGAGGAGGGGAUUGGGUCUGAUUCGCUAGUUGGCGGGGUAACGGCCCACCAAGGCGAUGAUCAGUAGCCGGGCUGAGAGGAUGGAUGGCCACAUUGGGAAUGAGACACGGCCCAGACGUCUACGGGAGGCAGCAGGGGGGAAUCUUCCGCAAUGGACGAAAGUCCGACGGAUGAACGCCGCGUGAGUGAUGACGUCCUUCGGGUUGUAAAGCUCUGUUAAUCGGGACGCGGUACCGAAAUAGAAAGCCACGGCUAACUACGUGCCAGCAGCCGCGGUAAUUC